UUAGACUUUUCUCCGACCCCCUCUUCAGCUAAUUGUGCGAUUGUUAAUUAGCAGUGGGGAAGGUAAUACUCUUGGCCAAAUCGCAUCCGAAACACUUGCGAUCUGGAGUAUGAACAGUGUUAGGGAUGGUCAGAACCGGCUUUCUUUGAGGAGCUAUGAAAUGCGAACAUUUUUUGACUGCAUUAAUUUGGUUGGAUGAAAGA